GUCAAACUCCCCAUCCCCAGGAAAUGGAAUCCAAGUUAAAGACGUGUGUGCAGGUGGCUUAUUGGAAGGUGAAGCAAACAGGGCCCUUGGAUUCAGACUGAAUUGAUAUCGCCAGGUUUCCUGUCUUUUCAGCUUGCAGGCAGCUGAUUGUGGGACUUCUCAGCCUCCUUAAUCAUAUUUUCUUAUCAUUGGCCUUCAACAUUUUUAUCAGGAUAUAUCUGUGUAUAUUGCAGAUUUUACAAAUUGAAGGUUUGUGACAACUCCCUCAAGGAAGUCUGUUGGUGUUAUUUUUCCAACAGCAGGUACUCACUUCAUGUCUCUGUGUCACAUUUUGGCCUUUAAACCAAGAGAAGACAUACCUGAGCAAUUGAACCAGAAGGGAUGAGCCCCACCUGGAUCUGAUGCAGAUUAAAAUAUCUUGGACCUUGGGCCUGAGCUUGGAAUGGAAUGAGACCUUUGAGGAUCUUAGUGGGGAAUCCCCUUGUCAUAAAACCAAUGCAUAAGAUACAACUGCAUCCAAUGUAUUCCAGGGAAAGAUUCUCUGCAGAUGACUCAAGGAAAGCCACAGGAGCAACAGGGAAACUGAAAGAACAAAUAUCACAGUUGAUUCAGAAGGGCAGCCCCACAUUUUUAAGUGAUACCCAACCAUUGUGAACAAGCUCUGUCAACACCAUCUGCUCCACAAAGGAAAGUUGCUGAUUAUUGCAUCUCUAAGUGGAGUCGGUUCUCUCCCACGAUAGCAGAAGGCUUUCACAUUCACUAUACUGUUAUGGACAUGGAGGAUGGGAACCAUUGCUUUGUUUACUCUGCAACUUCUUAAUUAUAUCACAAAAGACUCGACACAUAAGCAGUAUCCAGAAAAGCAAGUCGACUACAUAAAAAUCAAUGCAUGAUUGUCUAUAGCCUUUGACAUACUAGGACCAGUCAAGAUAUGUGUGGAGGGUAAUGAAGAAUGGGCAAAUACCAGAGAAAAGACAGCUGAGUGUCCAUGAUAAAG
rnacentral:lncRNA from 1 species